UUCUGGCUCAGGAUGAACGCUAGCUACAGGCUUAACACAUGCAAGUCGAGGGGCAGCAUGAUUCUAGCUUGCUAGAAUGAUGGCGACCGGCGCACGGGUGAGUAACGCGUAUCCAACCUUCCCUAUAGUAGAGGAUAGCCCGGCGAAAGUCGGAUUAAUACUCUAUGUUGUUCAAUGCGGACAUCUAAGUUGAACCAAAGGUUUACCCGCUAUAGGAUGGGGAUGCGUCUGAUUAGAUGGUAGGCGGGGUAACGGCCCACCUAGUCGACGAUCAGUAGGGGUUCUGAGAGGAAGGUCCCCCACAUUGGAACUGAGACACGGUCCAAACUCCUACGGGAGGCAGCAGUGAGGAAUAUUGGUCAAUGGGCGAGAGCCUGAACCAGCCAAAAGUAGCGUGCAGGAUGACGGCCCUAUGGGUUGUAAACUGCUUUUAUACGGGGAUAAAGUGAGGGACGUGUCCCUUUUUGUAGGUACCGUAUGAAUAAGGACCGGCUAAUUCCGUGCCAGCAGCGGC
rnacentral:rRNA from 1 species